rnacentral:rRNA from 1 species
CUUGGAUUGGAACAACACGCGGAGAAUCGCCUGUUAAAAUUCCCAUAUUCCCCAGUUAGCUGGUGAAAUAUUUUAUAGCCAGAAGAGGAGCUCGCGUCCGAUUAGUUAGUCGGUGGGGUAAGAGCCUACAAGGCAGCGAUCGGUAGCUGGUCUGAGAGGAUGAGCAGUCACACUGGGACUGAGACACGGCCAGACUCCUACGGGAGGCAGCAGUGGGGAAUUUUCCGCAAUGGGCGAAAGCCUGACGGAGCAAUACCGCGUGAGGGAGGAAGGCUUUUGGGUUGUAAACCUCUUUUUUAAAGGAAGAAGAAAGUGACGGUACUUUAAGAAUCAGCAUCGGCUAACUCCGUGCCCAGCAGCCGCGGUAAUACGGAGGAUGCAAGCGUUAUCCGGAAUCAUUGGGCGUAAAGCGUCCGCAGGUGGCUGUUCAAGUCUGCUGUUAAAGACAGAAGCUCAACUUCUGAACAGCAGUGGAAACUGGACGGCUAGAGUACGGUAGGGGUUGAGGGAAUUCCCAGUGUAGCGGUGAAAUGCGUAGAUAUUGGGAAGAACACCAGUGGCGAAGGCGCUCAACUGGGCCGUAACUGACACUCAGGGACGAAAGCUAGGGUAGCGAAAGGGAUUAGAUACCCCUGUAGUCUUAGCUGUAAACGAUGAACACUAGGCGUUGCUUGUAUCGACCCGAGCAGUGCCGUAGCCAACGCGUUAAGUGUUCCGCCUGGGGAGUACGCACGCAAGUGUGAAACUCAAAGGAAUUGACGGGGGCCCGCACAAGCGGUGGAGUAUGUGGUUUAAUUCGAUGCAACGCGAAGAACCUUACCAGGACUUGGCAUCCCGAGAACUGAACCUAAUAGUUCAGGUGCCUUCGGGAACUCGAAGACAGGUGGUGCAUGGCUGUCGUCAGCUCGUGUCGUGAGAUGUUGGGUUAAGUCCCGCAACGAGCGCAACCCUCGUUCUUAGUUGCCAGCAUUAAGUUGGGCACUUUAGGAAGACUGCCGGUGACAAACCGGAGGAAGGUGGGGAUGACGUCAAGUCAGCAUGCCCCUUACGUUCUGGGCUACACACGUACUACAAUGGUUGGGACAAAGGGCAGCGAGCUCGCGAGAGUCAGCGAAUCUCAGCAAACCCAGCCUCAGUUCAGAUUGCAGGCUGCAACUCGCCUGCAUGAAGGAGGAAUCGCUAGUAAUCGCAGGUCAGCAUACUGCGGUGAAUUCGUUCC